rnacentral:rRNA from 1 species
GUAAGGAAUAUUGGUCAAUGGACGAAAGUCUGAACCAGCCAUGCCGCGUGAAGGAUGAAGGCCCUCUGGGUUGUAAACUUCUUUUAUAGGGGACGAAAAAAGGGAAUUCCUUCCCACUUGACGGUACCCUAGGAAUAAGCACCGGCUAACUCCGUGCCAGCAGCCGCGGUAAUACGGAGGGUGCAAGCGUUAUCCGGAUUCACUGGGUUUAAAGGGUGCGUAGGUGGGCAGUUAAGUCAGUGGUGAAAUCUCCGGGCUUAACCCGGAAACUGCCAUUGAUACUAUCUGUCUUGAAUAUCCUGGAGGUGAGCGGAAUAUGUCAUGUAGCGGUGAAAUGCUUAGAUAUGACAUAGAACACCGAUUGCGAAGGCAGCUCGCUACGGGAUUAUUGACACUGAGGCACGAAAGCGUGGGGAUCAAACAGGAUUAGAUACCCGGGUAGUCC